UUGUUGGUUUGACUUUCAGAUUUUAGAAGUAAAGCUUGAGUAGUUCAGAAAUGCUAUUUUUGAAAGAUAUUUCAUUCAUUUUACAUAUGUGCAUUAGGUUCUGUUUUAUUUGAGUGUUUUUACUUGUAAUUCAAACUUGUUAAAUCAAAGAUUAUGAUUAAAUUCCCAAUGUUAUAUCAAUUUCAUAUUUAUGCCCCCCUUCGAAGAAGAGGGGGUAAAGUGUUUUGCAAUGUCAGUCGGUCCGUCCGUCAGUCGUUCCGUCCACCAUAUGGUUUCCAGAUGAUUACUCAAGAACACUUAGGCCUAGGAUCAUGAAACUUCAUAGGUACAUUGAUCAUGACUGGCAGAUGACCCCUAUUGAUUUUCAGGUCACUAGGUCAAAGGUCAAGGUCACAGUGACUCAAAACAGUAAAAUGGUUUCCGGAUGAUAACUCAAGAAUGCUUACGCCUAGGAUCAUGAAACUUCAUAGUAACAUUGAUCAUGACUGGCAGAUGACCCCUAUAGAUUUUUAGGUCACUAGGUCAAAGGUCAAGGUCACAGUGACUCGAAACAGUAAAAUGGUUUCCAGAUGAUGACUUAAGAAUGCUUACGCCUAGGGUUAUAAAACUUAAUAGGUACAUUGAUCAUGACUGGCAGAUGACCCCUAUUGAUUUUCAGGUCACUAGGUCAAAGGUCAAGGUCACAGUGACUCGAAAUAGUAAAAUGGUUUCCCGAUGAUAACUCAAGAAUGCCUACGCCUAGGAUCAUGAAACUUCAUAGGUACAUUGAUCAUGACUGGCAGAUGACCCCCAUUAAUUUUCAGUUUACUAGGUCAAAGGUCAAGGUCACAGUGACUCGAAACAGUUAAAUGGUUUCCUGAUUAUAACUCAAGAAUAAUUAGGCCUAGGAUCAUGAAACUUCAUAGGUACAUUGAUCAUGACUGGUAGAUGACCCUUAUUGAUUUUCAGGUCACUAGGUCAAAGGUCAAGGUCACAGUGACAAAAAACGUAUUCACAAAAUGGCUGCCACUACAACUGACAGCCCAUAUGGGG